GCAAAAUUCCGUCUGCCGGGCCGGAAAAAUGGCCAAUUCCGUGCCGGAAAAUUGAAAACUGGUGUGAACCGGCAAAUCUGGCAACUUCUUUUGACCGGUCCGGCAGGCCGGAGAGCCAGAUUUUCCGGUCCGGCAAAAAGUUGAAAUCAUCUCAACUUUUGCCUUGCCGGAUAGCCACCGUUUGUGAUAUGAAAUUAAGGCAGGAGGGAAAUAAUGUUAUGUUUCAGCGCUACAGGACCAAUUUAACCAACGGUGCCCUAAUAGUCUCGCGAUUUUUCACGAGAAUAUAAAAUUCAAGCGUAAAUUUGACGGCGUUUCAUUUUUAUUUCAAAACAUUUGCAUCUCAAACGGAGUGAUAGCUACAUUUCUGUUUUUGUAUUUCACAUGACUCAUGGCCUUUUCAAAUUAUAAAUUAAUUUCAUUGGUUGGAAAAUAUUCAUGACUUUAUAAUAAAAAAGAUAAAUAUUAUAAGGAAGCGGUGAAAAGGGCGAAUUUGUGGAACAACAUUGCGGACGCGCUGGUUGUAGAAGGAGCGGAGCCAGUAUCUGCAGAAGAGAUUAUCAAGCGCUGGAGCCGGCCGCAGGACAGGUAGCACAAUGUACGUAUUGCUAACUUCCGUCGUCUACGAAGUGGAGCCAGCCGAGCAGAUUCUGAAAUCUACAUUCUACAAGACGCGCUGACAACACUUGUCUGCCCUCGAUGCCCUCCUACACAAGCACAAGGCAGCUCGGGAGGGUGGAGGCAGUUUUGCCAUUCAAUCGCAAGUAGAAGAUUCAGCAAAUACGAUGGUACUGAAUGCCAAGGAUAUUAUCCCGCGCCCUGCUGGGGGUGGGUAUUUGAACCUUCCCUGUGGUUUUUCGCAACCAUCUAAAAA
rnacentral:lncRNA from 1 species